UAACCUGGUUGAUCCUGCCAGUUUGUCAUAUGCUUGUUUCAAGGACUAAGCCAUGCAAAUGUCAGAGUAUCUGUGUUUUAAUACAGAGGGUCUGUGUACGGCUCAUUAAACGGUUUAUAGUCUCCCCAACAAAGAGGGCAGUCAUGCCUUCCUACGGGAUAUCUUUGCGAAACGCAAAGCUAAUACCUGUAAG
rnacentral:rRNA from 1 species